GGUCCCAUCGUCUAUCGGUUAGGACAGUUGGUUUUCAUCCAACAAAGAGGGGUUCGAUUCCCCUUGGGACCG
rnacentral:tRNA from 2 species